CGGAAACUUAGUGGAUCACGCGAGUGUAGGAAGCGUUUACUUUGUCACAGGUGGACAAUUUACCGAUUCUUUCAAGAAAGCGACUCUGAGCUGUUCUUGCUUUUUUGUUCCAACUUAUUCUCAUGAGACCCUCAUCGACUGUCGCCAAAUGCGCCUCUGGACUGAAGGAGCCGAAGUGACUGAUCAUGUUUUGAUCAUGUUUGGACCUGUCUGUUGGAGUGGACCAACAUGGAGACUCUGAGACUCUGAGAAAGUCACCAGAUAAGGAAGAGAGUGUGGUCAGACGGAGAUAAGUCGACAAAAAUGUUUUAUAUUUAUUGAUCCUGUCCUCAAUACAAGUGGUAUGAGGAAUCUGUCUCUCCAUAUGGACGUUUAUGAACCUGGAUGUCUCUGGACCGUUCAGAAGUCUCCAUGCUGAGGACAACAGAGUGAAGGAUGUGACUGAAUCUGGAUCCAGAUGAUGGGAUAUUGAAGGAUGAAGAAAACAGAAGUCUCCAUGCUGUUUCCGGAAAGGAUGAAGAAAACAAUGACCUCCUUCUCUACUCAAAGGUAGGACAUAUUUUGAUAUUAUUAUAAAGGUGGGCCUGCUGUGACUGUUUAUGCUGCUCUGGCUGUGUGUUCAUUUGGUGAUUGUGGACUCCACUGUGACUGUGGAUGAAGCCUCUCAUUCAUUUGUCAGUCUGUGAAAUGUGAAGGCCAACUGUCUGCAGUGUAAAUAGUUCAGAGAAAUGACUAAAUGCUCUGUGUUUUUGCCUGUUUUCAUAUAAACUUGUUAGCAGUGUGUGCUGGUGUUUUUCACAGGUGUGAUGAAGUUACUUUAAAAUGCUUCAGAGCUCUGUGCAGGGCUUUUUAUACAUCAAGGUAACCUUUAAGCUACUGUUACAUGCACCACAGCUGUGUGUGUGUAUGAGUGUGUGUGUAAUGCUUUCUUCAGCUGGAGGCAGCCUAACUGAUUUAAUGAGCAAUUUGGAGUUUCACUGUAAAUGCUGGUGUGUACUAAGACUUGCACCUGGGCUAUUUGCAGUACCCUUUUGUUAUCAAGCUGUUUGCAAGUUCUGUAUCUGUGUGCACUGCUGUUUGUCCCAGUUUUUGGUGGAGUUGUUGAGCUUGUAUUUUGGAUAUGAUACGAAGAGAUCUUACUUAUUUGUUCAUUUUAUAUUAUUUUCUUGUCUUAGUCCAUCAAGUUUGACUCUUUCUUUUUAUCAUUUUUAUCUUUUUAUCUCCGGUGUUUCCCGAAGGUAGCUCUUUCCUCACGCAAUGGCUCGGUGUCAGGCCAUGUCUCUUUAACAAUAUAUCUUAAAUUCUCGCUCUAUGUGCGCUUGUGUGUGUGUGUGUAUGUGUGGGUGAAUAAGGGUGAAUGUGUGUCUUUUUGUGUGUGUGGGUCCAUAGAUGGGAGGGUCGGAUUUUAUUGUUGUUUUUAGCCUCUGUGUGGCAUUUUGAACUACAUUUUUGUCUGAAAAGUGCCAUAUAAAUAUAGUUGAAUUUGAGUAUCUUUAUAAUUAGCUUUUAAAUUAAUGUCCAAGCUGCAUUCAGGGGAGAAUAUAUUUUAAAAGUAUAAAUAUAUUUUACCACCACAGGUUGUUUUUAGGCUCUCCUCACACGAGGACCGCCCUGUAUUGUCUUGGCGUCGGCACCAAAACAUGUAUCGCUCUGUACGCAUCGUAUUGUACAUAGGCUUAGUGCAUUUACAGGACAACGCAAAAUCCAGUAGUACAUACACCCGGCAUAUAAGGUCACGGUCUUUUCCGGACUUAUCUAUACCAACUACGGCAUGGAGAAGAUGCAGAGUCAUGGUCAAAUACGCGUCUCUGUGUGUCAAUAUCACCAGAUCGAUAGUUUAUUUUACCGUGUCUUACAAAUUCGUACUCGUGUAAAGACGGCCUUAAUGUGUUGCCAGCUUAUGUCACAAACUUUGCUGAGGUUAAAAUGUGUUCUACCUCGAGAAUUUCUUCACUGUCAUCAGUGUUAUGGUAAUAUCUUUAGCUUUUACUGUUGCCAUUUUAGAGGGAUAAAUUUAGGUUCAAAGUGAUUGAAAAAGAGGCAAAUGCUGGCGCUGUUGUUUGAUUUCAGUCCAUCAAAUAUAUAGUGGACUGGUGCUGCUGUAAGGCUGGCUGUGGAGAGGAUGGAGCAGCUUGUUACUGCUGAUGUUGGUUUCAAAUGUCUAUCUGUUCAACCACAGUACAGAUUUCAUUGUGUGUUUAAACUAUCUUGUUUUCGUGUGUGUAAAACAGGCAGUAAAAGAACAGAUUUAACAAAAAGUUCAACCAUGAAGAGAAAGAGAGAAAAAAGAAAAACAGAAAACACAAAAGAAGUACAAACCUUGUACCUUAACAGCAACAACUGCUUCAGCCAGUGCCGCUGAUCAAAUGUCUGGCAGUGAGGGGGUCAGUGCAGUGCUGUCUCCACUGUGGGCAGACAUCCACAGUCACCCACUAUUGUGCAAACAAGAAGUCUUCUGUCAGUCCUGUGUGUGUGUGUGCUGUAUGCCCACUCCUGUAUUUCCAUUCUGUGGUUUAACAGCAGAGAUACAGUAAAGUUUGUGUAUCUUAUUAUCAGUAUAUUGUGUGUGAGGUCAAAUACUGCAGCUGUUUCUACUAUAGCAAGUAACACUGAAGCACAUUUCCUGAGUGUUUGUGUUUUAUAUUACUGCCGACACAAGCCUUUAAGCUCACCUGCUGUCUCCCAACACUUCCUCCACUUCCUCUUACUAAACACUUAAUACAGAAUAAGUUGUUGGUUGUUGCCUCUGUUUGUUAUCAGAUUAAGUGACUUAAAAAUGUAGAAACCAAAGAGGGGAAAACAAAAAAAAAGGAAUCAAAAGUUCUCUGUUGUAUUUCAAGCAGACGGCACUCAUAUCCACCUUCUACAGAAGCUCAAUUUUGGGUUUUGGCCACCAGUCAAAGAUAACAGCUGUACACUUUGCAGGUUCAGUGAACUCCGGCAGCCCCUGGCAGCAGGUUACUCCUGUGGGAGGGGAUCAUAAUUAGAAACGUUUUGGAUCAUCUCGAGAAAAAGAGCAGAGAUUUUGAAGGAAAGAAAGAAAAGGGUGUGGAGAGAUAAUGUGGUAGGAAGAAUGAAUUAAAGAAAGGAGUGCGUGUCAGGGGCUUGUAGAAAUGAAACGAAUGUCCACUGGGGUUCUAUGGCCUCCAGUGCUCCAUUUUUUACCUUCAACAGAGAUUUUCACUACAGUCUUAAACACAGUAAUUCUUUGAGUGACAGAUAACCCUGAAGGCCUGACAACCAGCCCCACAGGGAUGUUUCCCUUACUGUAAAAAGACAAUUAGACCAACUUACAGGCGUGAUUGCGCUGCCCUCAUCACUUCCCUUUGUUUUAUUGUCCUCUCACGAAGAAGUGAAACUCGCAGCCUCAAGCCACAUAGACAGUUAGAAUAUAACAAUAAGUGUCACUCUCUCCCUCUUUUCCUUACCCCUUGUCACUCCUUUGGUAUUUUCUACAUGGCCUCAGGUGAUGCAGUAGAGUGACCCAUUAGAAACUCACUUUAUUCACCAACUAACAGCUUAACUCGCAUCAGUAACUCCUAAUGCCCCGGGGCGCUUCUGCCACUGCCCUACUCCUUCAAGAGACAGAUACAUACACUGCAUGGAAUUUUGAUAUGUUGGUGCAGGAGUCGCCAAUUAUAACUGUUAUCUUCUCCACGCUGCUGCAAAGAAUGGUUUGGAUCGGUGUUGAAUUGAGAGAGGGGCGCGAGACGACACCUCAGGAGAAAAACGGGAUUUGAAAACAUUGAGUUACAUGAUUUGAUUUGGUACAAAUUUUGGUGUAACACAAUCCAAAGCUGAUUCAAGCAGAAACCUUUAAUCAACAGUGCAUCAAAUUAAUGAAUAAUUAAGAGGUGUCGUAAUGAGGAACCCGAAGACAAUUCUCACUCAAGUCAUGAAAUUCUCUGUCAUUAAUGACAAACUCAAACCCACAGCACUAACUCUGCUUUAAUUUAAAGAUGUAGCUUUAACAAACAUGCUGCAGCAGAAAAAGCAAAUUCAGAGGACAGAGACCAGGUUAACAAAAUAUAACAAAGACAUGAUGCAACCGUAGUCCUGAAACUGCCAAAGCUCAAAGCAUAGAAAACUCUGUUAAGGGUUUUCUACGUAAUAUUUUCAAGUUCAGCCUUGUGACAAAAAAGGAAAUCAAUACAAGGAGUAUUUAUCUGUGUCUGUUUUGAGGAUUUUAACAUGGCAGAAAAUAUCAUGUAUUGUUGCAAUGCCAACUCUUAAAAAUAGUUCAGUGAGAUCCCUUUUCAUCAGAUGUACCCUUUCUGAUAUGUGUGUCACGAGAAUUCUCCUCAGUGCUCAAGAGGGUAUGUAUGAAUGAGUGCACCAAAUGGUAAAUUAGAUUUGAAUCAUGAUCAAAGAUGCUUGUCAGUAACACAAAUUAACACAGAGUUGAUCAAAACAGUCGCAUUUGGAAAUGGAGUUUUAGUCCACCUUGUAAUAUUAUAUGUCAGUUACAUGUUCAGCUUUUCUAACACUGUGAAAGUAUCACCAGAAAGUUCUGGUUAUACUUUCACAAUACAGGAUCCAACAGAGCAUUGGUCUAAAAGAGGUCUAAUAGACGUCUAAAUGUAGCCUAGAUGACUGGUCUAAAAUCAGGCUACCACUGGACUAAAAAUUAAAGUUAUCUAGAUGUCUUAAUUUAGACCAUGUUUAUACUAGCUGGCUAACAGAGCUAUAUCUGUAGUACACUGUAUAUUGUUCAACGGCUCUAAUUAUUUUGGCUAAGUACUUGGAUAAGAAUAAGAAUAAGAAUAACUUUAAAGUGCAACAUCUCCUGCUGCCAAGGCGGACUGUACAGGUAAUUUGGGGAGCACACUCCUCAUCCUGCUAGAGACUCAGCACUUUGUUUAAGGACACUUCAGCGAGCUGAAGGCUUUUCAUCAUGUUGGUUUCUAGCCGGUUCUUAUACUUGACAGAAGAUGUCCCCCUCCACUUCCCCACCUAUGCUCUACAUUGUAUCUUCAGUGGGGUUCAUUUUGUCUUAUAAAAGCAUUUUAAGAGGGUUUUGUCCUUCUUUGAGAGAGCUCGAAUAAAAAUAUGUGAUAUUCUUUGAGCUAAUGUAAGAAUAUUAGCUUGCAAGAUGUACUUCAAGGAUGCAGUUUGGAAGUAAUAGCAGAUACUAUCUUCUCCUGCAGGCAUGUUGCACUAAUGAAGUGAUCCUCCACCAGCUAAAAGAUUAGUGUCAAUAAAUGCACUCUCAUUUCAACCUUUGGAUUGGACAUUUGAUUUGUGUUGCAGCUUGGUGGUAAACUGCUUUUGGCUGAAGGUGCGAUAUGUAAGACAUCUACUGAAUUAAAUCACAAGAUAAUCUUGAUGUAUUAUGAAACAUUAAGGAAACUUGCUUUAAUGAAAUCCUGUCUUCUCUGACCACAAUACUGAAGCCGGCAUAUCUCUCCUAAAGUUUUGGUGGUCAGGAACAGUCUAUAUUUGUUUUGACUUGUGAGGGUAGGCACUUUGAAGGCAACCCCACACUCCUGUUUUGGAUGCCCUUCCACUUGCCAGAUAUGAGAUCCAUCUCAGAGGAGCUCCAUGACAACACCAGAGCAAAACUAUCAUAAAUAUUAGAAAUGUUUUUUUUUUUAUUUGGAGAUGGAGAGGUUGGAGUGCAGAACUUGCCAAGAGUAAGCAAUAAUAUCAUGUGGUAACCCAAGUGAGUGUCAGCUCUAUGGGGAGGAGAAAGCACUGGUGCUUUAUUUCAUAGUAUUGGUAAAGCAUGAUCUCACAUGUCGAAUUAAUGAGCUGAAAGGAGUCACAUUUCACUUAUGCCUGUUGACACUGUAGCAAAAACAUGAAUAGGAUCUCAACCUUCUGUAACAAUCGGCUUACUAUACAUUAAACACAGUAAAACCAGGAAUUUAUGAGAAGACUGUGUGAACUACUCAAAUCUGAUUGGUCAGUCAUUACAUUUAAAAGUCUGCUAUAUAAAAGAUCGCUGUUAUGUAGGGUUGCAAAGGGGUGGAAAAUUCUGGGUAAAUUUCCAGAAACUUUCCAUGGGAAGUUAAGCUGGGGAACUUUGGAAAUAUUCCAAAUUGAAAACUUUCCAUGGGAAUUUACAGAAUUUAUGGGGAUUAACUGGAAAUUGGGGGUAAUUUAAACAAACUGUAUCAUAUCCAAGCAUAAAUGUAAAUAUUUUUGUUUUGUCAUAAGCAGACGUUCAUGCAAAAUAAUACAGUUAAAAAAACAUGAACUUUUACAAAAGCUUGUUGAAACACUAAUGCGAUGGCAUGAACAGAUAUAUAGUUGGUUAAACAACUGGAAUGGUCUUCAAAAUAUUUGACAAUUCAUGUAUACAUUAUUGUCUGGUUACAGAAAACUGUCUUGCAGGAGUCAGAAGAAACAGCAUCACAUUCGAGGUAGCUACCACCACCAUAAUAAACUAGCCCCUUAAAUGGUCAAUAAAAUGAAAAAUGGCUUACAUUAAGCAUCUGUAUGUAUUAUUUUUUAAGUUAAAUAUUAAUACUAUUAUAGAUCAAAUAUAUUUACACCAUAAUAUUAUCAAAACUUAUUUGACUUUAUAUAGUUCAUGGGCUCAAAUACCUUGUGCUUUGGGCUCGAAAGUGUGGCCUCCAGGGUUCAAGAAAUCAUCUGUGUAUGUGAUGGAGAAAAGCACAGUGCAUGUAGGGGGUGUGGCCUCAGUAGCCCUGCAGUACGCAGUGUGCUGUGUGCAUGUGAUUGAGGAGUGUACUUGCAUUAAAUCUGGUUGUUUUAGCCAAGAUUAUGCUACAAUGUAUUUUCCCCAACUAUAUUUAAGUUCCCUGUUGUGGGCCAACCUUCAAUAAAUUUCAGAUUUAUUUCCGUUAAAUCCCAUAGAAAGUUUCCAACUUUGAAAAUUCCUGGAAUUUUGCAACCCUACUGUUACAUAAACCAGAUUAUCCCUGCUUUAAACCAACCAAGGUUCUGGCUGGCAUAUAAUUUUAUCAGCAGAAAGAAGUUUGUUAUGUUUAAUGUCAGCAGGUUCAUAUAUGUAAUAUGAGUCAUUUUUCAUUGCUGCCAUGCAGAAAAGAAAGGAGGUAAACACAGAAAAGCUCUAUGAUGUAGAAACCAGUCAUAUAGUAGAAGUUACAAGUUAACACGUCUGCCGUAUGUCAGUUUGAAAGAGUGUUUAGCAAUAAAGGAGAGGCUGUCAGACCUUGACAGUUACGAGGCAGAAAAUCUCAAUCAGGUGCUGCGGUGAUUCAUGCACUUCUGUUCACCUAAUCCUAGUUCAUUAUCUGCAGAGGUGUUCACUUAAACAUGAGUAUUUAAGACUGAGAGGGCUUCAUUUCAGAAGGUUACUGCUUUCCCACUGCUAUAACAACACUUUGAAACUUAAAAUAAGAGGAACAAUUUCUUGAUGAAAUCAUAUUUCAGUCUAUCAGUGAAUGUGUGAAUCAUUGUUUUGUGUCAAACUAUUGAUAUAUUUGGUAAGAGGGUAAUCUGGAUGGUAUUCAGCAAACAGGUUGUCCAUGAAAACCCUCAUUUUGUUGCAAGUACUGUAACCCCUUCCAUAUUUUGAGCCCCUCUCUAAUAUCAUAAUAGUUUUCCAACAUGGUAAUCAUCAAAUGCCCACUCUUUUUUGUUUGGACUCCUCCGUGUCUGCCUUUUCCCCUCAACAAAAAGAAGAAAAUAGACUGUCUGCCUCUAAUGUGUUGGACUCAUCGACAGAUAAUACUGAGGCAGCGGGGUGUGGUUUUUGUGUCUGUCUGGGUAGGAGGCGUCAGUGGAGGCACAGCGCUGCAGUCACAGCAGCAGGUAAAUUGGUAAUUAGUAAUCUUGUCUAUUUAUCUCCCCUGUUGUGAGGAUGGAGCCUCUCUCUUGGUGAUUAUGUGCGGCAGCGGCAUGAGCCUCAAGUCCUGAGUUGUUUUCGUGCAGAGUGGCAAGAUGAGCCUCAGUUGUGUUGUUUAUAUUUAAUAAAAUCAGCCGUGUACAGCAACUAUUCCCAUAUGCGCCUGCUUCUGCAGCUCCUAAAAACAUCAGACCCUGUUACUCCUCACUGAAGGUGCGUUUCAUUUCAUUUAUGUCGCUCCCCUGUCCUCCAACGACCCUUGGAAAUUGAUUGGGUCCGCCAUCAUAAAUGACAUCUCAAUUUUCUUAAUUCUGCUCGGAGGAGCGAGAAGAGCAGAGGCUUGAUUAGAGUAAAGGGAUCGUCCUAAGUGGAGACCUUUAUCAGAUAGGCACAUUGGAAAUGAAUUAAUGAUUAGAUGGAGUAAGUGAUCUGAUGCGUUAGGCUGCGCUGAAAUUGCCACACCACAGCUGUUAUAUCCAACUAGCAGCUUGGACAGACAAGCAAGGUGGAGUCUAUUAUCAAGUGUUAUUUGUUUGUCUAAUUUAAGAUAUUAGAUGAGUGUUAAGUAUAAUUAGGGAGCCAUAAAAUGAACCUUUACUAUCUUCUAGUCUUCUUUUUUCCUUAAGCUCCCCCUUUAUUACUCAUUUUAAGUGCAUGCCUCAUUGUCUUGGAAACCAGCAGAGUCCUUUCCCUUAUUUUCACCCUGUAAAGGAAAACUUAAAGGCAGAUUAAGUAUUGAAAUACUUUUGUUUAAAAUGUUGAAAAUCUUGACAAAUCUUGAUAAAUUUGUACACUGUUUAAUUUUUUUACUCUGUUCUAUGUACUUUUCACUCAAAACUAGAUUAGAAAACAUUUGCUUUAGAGCGUGAUUCAGAUUGUGUUUUCAUGUGUCUCCUACGAAUAGAUCCACAUUUUUCUUGGGUAUUUUCCUGGCUGCAUGGCUCCCCUUUAAAUCCAUAGGCUAUCUAGCUCUACUACUGUAUGCCCUGAAUAAGUAGUCUCACCUUUUGAAAACAGCAGUUGUAUUUUGUCGGUCAAUUUGUGUACCUGUAGUAGCAGAGCCCACAGUUAGUAAUGGACAAGGACAUUGUGGAAACUGUGAGAGGACUGAGAAACCCUGGUGCAAGUAUCCAUGCUAGGCCAGACAAACAAGGUGUGUUAAUGUCUGUAGGCCUUGUUGAGCCAAUUCCUGAGGCACAUUUUCUUUCCAAUCCAAAGGGCAACUUCCUUUAAACUCAAUAAAACACAACAAUCUUUUGUUCUAGCCAGUGAUCUGUUCCAGAAAAUUAUACAACUUUUAAAUACCUUUAACUGCUUUAUACCCAUAAAUGUUUCAUGUGUUCAGUUGUAAAGUAUUCUGUUCCUGCUAACAAGGGUAUAAUUUUUUCAUUUGAAAAUUUAUAAUUCAUUGGAAAAGUAAACAACAGUUUUAGGUGGUUCCUUCUCAACAAUUAAGGGAUGUGCUCAGAAUCUAAAAAAGGAACCAGAGGGCACAACUGAAACGUCAAAAUCGAGGAGGGAGGAUGCUUUUAGGAGCCCCUUAUGUAAGCCCUCACUGUGUUGGAUACUCCCUAGUUUGAAUAAAACGUUUCCAUACGGAUCUUUUCAUCAAUUUGUCAAAUUGCAAACAAUCCUAACCAGCUGUGACGAGGAUUGUAACCUCAGUGGAAAUGAUGGCAGAUCUUCACAGUAUCAUUGUGCACAAAACAUCCAUUUUGUCUGUAUUUAUUUGUCUUAUUUUUUAUACUUCUUUAAAAAAAUUAUUUUGCAAAGGGCGUGCACAUGUUACACUGUCGACCUUUUCAACUCCAUCUGCCGACCGCUGAAAAGCUGCUGGGCUGCUUUUGAGAUUUUGAAACCCCUUCUGUUCAUGUUGACUGUUCACAGCAAGAUUAAAAAGACACCCCUCUUCUGUUUGGCGUACUUAGACCCAGCUCCUUCUAUACAAAAAAAUAUGAACCCAAAAUAGGAAGGGAACAAACAAGCCAACAAUAAAAUCCAAAGAAACAAUCCACAGCAGCUCAAUCCAUCAUUUGCAUAAAAGUGUGGAGAACAUCCCUUUUCCAAAUUGCUCCUGAGAGAGCGGGCUUAGUUUGAUGAAUAAGGAUCAGCCUUUGAUUACAAUCCCUUCAAGAUCCAUUAGACACCAAACAUAAUCACUUCCUUUCAUUCCCUUUCCUCAUAUUGAUAUUUGCACAUGUCUCCCCCCCUAGGUGUCACUCUCAGGGGGAACCUAAACAACUCCUCCCAUCCUUCAGGCCUUAGACCAAAGCCGUGAAUCGUGAAGCUCUCCUUGAGAGAUAAAAGAGGAUCACCUAUUUGUGUGGAAAAUCGCAUUUAACACAGCUUAAAUAGGAUCAAUAAAGACACUCUGAAUGUUGCACUAGUGUGGUUAUGCAAUCGAGACCAACUUGUGUUUACCAGGAGUGUGUGUUAUAAAGGGCUUGUAUGGAUGUCUGUGGAGAGCAAUUUGAAAGAUAACUAAACAUGUACGAAGAACAUCUAAUUUGAGAUGUACGAACCAAGGCAUAUAUAGAUUAUUUAACUCAGGUAGCCCUUCUGAGCUGUUGUUUGAUACAGCAGUGAGAUAAAUAAACAUGUGCUCCUAAAGACACACAAGUGACAUACAUGUACAAUUUCUGUCUCCACUUACCGUAAUCAUACUUAAUGUGCUCAGAUUUCAUACAGUCAUUACAGUCAUUUGCUGAGUGAGUCAUUUGUUGUCAUUUGUUGAUUUGUGAGUGCAACCUCCUAAUAAGACAGGAA